GAGUUUGAUCUUGGCUCAGAUUGAACGCUGGCGGCAGGCCUAACACAUGCAAGUCGAGCGGUAGAGAGAAGCUUGCUUCUCUUGAGAGCGGCGGACGGGUGAGUAAUGCCUAGGAAUCUGCCUGGUAGUGGGGGAUAACGCUCGGAAACGGACGCUAAUACCGCAUACGUCCUACGGGAGAAAGCAGGGGACCUUCGGGCCUUGCGCUAUCAGAUGAGCCUAGGUCGGAUUAGCUAGUUGGUGAGGUAAUGGCUCACCAAGGCGACGAUCCGUAACUGGUCUGAGAGGAUGAUCAGUCACACUGGAACUGAGACACGGUCCAGACUCCUACGGGAGGCAGCAGUGGGGAAUAUUGGACAAUGGGCGAAAGCCUGAUCCAGCCAUGCCGCGUGUGUGAAGAAGGUCUUCGGAUUGUAAAGCACUUUAAGUUGGGAGGAAGGGCAGUAAAUUAAUACUUUGCUGUUUUGACGUUACCGACAGAAUAAGCACCGGCUAACUCUGU
rnacentral:rRNA from 1 species